UGGAGCAAAAGCGCAACUGACGGUAGUCAACUUUCGAGUUGAGUGCUGAGGAAACUCCCGACUCAUACCGACAACAGUCCUACGAAAGGAAGGAGGCGAGAGCCUCGCUCUGGGAACAGAAACGACACCCCCUGACUGGGUUUGACUAUGAUGCAGACUCGAAUCUGCUGAGGAUCAAUCUGGACAGGUUGAAACGGCCCAUCACUGUUGAGCAAUCUCAAGAAUACAUCGUCGAGGUGUCGGUCCGAGGUGUAGGGUAGAGAGCAUCAGUUAGAUGUUGCAAAGCAUCAUUUUGGUGACGAAAUGAAGUGGAACAAAAUCGGGGCUACUCUUUGGACCA
rnacentral:RNase_P_RNA from 1 species